rnacentral:rRNA from 1 species
UAUGUAGGCGGAUGCUUAAGUCAGAUGUGAAAUACCCGGGCUCAACCUGGGAGCUGCAUUUGAAACUGGGCAUCUAGAGUGCAGGAGAGGAAAGUGGAAUUCCUAGUGUAGCGGUGAAAUGCGUAGAGAUUAGGAAGAACACCAGUGGCGAAGGCGACUUUCUGGACUGUAACUGACGCUGAGAUACGAAAGCGUGGGGAGCGAACA